rnacentral:rRNA from 1 species
GGAGUCUGGGCCGUAUCUCAGUCCCAAUGUGGCCGUUCAACCUCUCAGUCCGGCUACUGAUCGUCGACUUGGUAGGCCGUUACCCCACCAACUAUCUAAUCAGACGCGAGCCCAUCUUUCAGCGGAUUGCUCCUUUGGUAUCAAAACGAUGCCAUUUCGAUACAUCAUGCGGUAUUAGCGACCGUUUCCAGCCGUUAUCCCCCUCUGAAAGGCAGGUUGCUCACGUGUUACUCACCCGUCCGCCACUAAGUCAUAUCAAAAUUCAUUCCGAAGAAAUCAUUUAUCAAGCUUCGUUCGACUUGCAUGUGUUAGGCACGCCGCCAGCGUUCAUC